GACGAACGCUGGCGGCGUGCUUAACACAUGCAAGUCGAACGGAAAGGCCCUGCUUUUGUGGGGUGCUCGAGUGGCGAACGGGUGAGUAACACGUGAGUAACCUGCCCUUGACUUUGGGAUAACUUCAGGAAACUGGGGCUAAUACCGGAUAGGAGCUCCUGCUGCAUGGUGGGGGUUGGAAAGUUUCGGCGGUUGGGGAUGGACUCGCGGCUUAUCAGCUUGUUGGUGGGGUAGUGGCUUACCAAGGCUUUGACGGGUAGCCGGCCUGAGAGGGUGACCGGCCACAUUGGGACUGAGAUACGGCCCAGACUCCUACGGGAGGCAGAGGUGGGGAGUAUUGCACAAUGGGCGGAAGCCUGAUGCAGCAACCCCGCGUGCGUGAUGACGGCCUUCGUGUUGUAAACCGCUUUCGCCUGAGACGAAGCGUGAGUGACGGUAAUGGGUAAAGAAGCACCGGCUAACUACGUG
rnacentral:rRNA from 1 species